GCGGAUGUGGUGGAAUUGGUAGACACGCUGGAUUUAGGUUCCAGUGCCUUCGGGCGUGGGAGUUCAAGUCUCCCCAUCCGCACCA
rnacentral:tRNA from 1 species